rnacentral:lncRNA from 1 species
UUUGGAAAAAUUUUGAAAUUUUUUUUCCUGAUUUUUGAUUUUUUUCAUCUUUUUUCACCCUCUUCUCUUUUUUCUUUUUUUUUUUGUUUUGUUUUGAUUGCAUUUGCAAUGCCCCAGUUUGACUGUUUUGCUGAUUCUCAUGAUACAGCUGAAUGAGCUUCUUUUGUGCUCAAGAAGUCGGGUAAUCUCAUCAGGAAUCCCCU